CAGAGACAUCUUAGGCACUGCUGGGAGAACUUCAGAGGGUCUCCUGAUGGACAGAGGGGAAUCUAGCCAACGAAGGAUUUCCAAGGUCAGAAGGGAGCAGAACCAGUGUCCUACCAGACAAGCGCAGAGUGCUUCCAGAACAAUCUCU